GCACGGGUGGCGGAAUUUGGUAUACGCGCUAGCUUGAGGUGCUAGUGGGAGCAAUCCCUUGGAGGUUCAAGUCCUCUUCCGUGCACCA
rnacentral:tRNA from 1 species